rnacentral:rRNA from 1 species
UACGAGGGGGGCAAAUGUUGUUCGGAAUUACUGGGCGUAAAGGGCGCGUAGGCGGGUUCUUAAGUUAGGUGUUUAAUCCCGGGGCCCAACCCCGGACCGGCACUUAAAACUGGGAAUCUUGAAUAGUGGAGAGGUCAGUGGAAUUGGGGGUGUAGCGGUGGAAUGCGUAGAGAUCCCCAAGAACACCAGUUGCGAAGGCGGCUGACUGGACACAUAUUGACGCUGAGGCUCGAAAGCAUGGGGAGCAAACAGG